rnacentral:lncRNA from 1 species
CUAAGUCUUCAAUCUUGUCCAGAAGGGAGCCCUGCCUCCUACCUCAGCAGGGCCCUUUUUUUGCUGCUGCUCUGCAGAUGAUUUGUGGGGGUUUGGCUCCCUGGUACAGCCUUUGACCCAUGGCUAAAGAGAAAAAAAUCACUAGCAUAUUGCUUAAUUAUUUGUUGAGUUUGUUGUAUCCAAUUUUCAAAUGCUCAAUUGUUGAUCCAGGCUGUUUGGCAUCCUUUCCCCUGCUUCUGGAAUAACAUCCCUUCCAGUAUGUUGCAUUGUACAAGAUGAAGUUAGUGGACCCAACUCAGAAGUACAAUGGCCGAGGCGGGCGGAUCACGAGGUCAGGAGAUCGAGACCAUCCC